AGCGGGAUGGAAUGGAGCAUAAAAUGUAUUCCAUUGUUUGGACAUUUUGUAUUCCAUCCCAUACACCCCAAAUUGGAGGGGAAGAAAAAUAAGAGAAAAUGAUGGAAUGUGAUGGAAUCCAUACCAUCACAUACCACUCCAUUCCAUUCAUUUUUAAAGAAUCCAAACAAUGGAACUUCACUUCAUACCACCACAUACCACUCCAUUCCAUCUCAUACCACCAAUCCAAACAAAGC
rnacentral:lncRNA from 1 species